rnacentral:rRNA from 1 species
UACAGAGGGUGCAAGCGUUGUUCGGAAUUAUUGGGCGUAAAGGGCGCGUAGGCGGUGCGGUAAGUCACCUGUGAAAUCUCCUGGCUCAACUGGGAGCUUGCAGGCGAAACUGCCGUGCUGGAGUGUGGGAGAGGUGAGUGGAAUUCCCGGUGUAGCGGUGAAAUGCGUAGAUAUCAGGAAGAACACCCGUGGCUAAGGCGGCUCUCUAGUACGGUACUGACGCUGAGACGCGAAAGCGUGGGGAGCGAACAGG